GAUGAACGCUGGCGGCGUGCCUAAUACAUGCAAGUCGAACGAGGUGCUUUUGUAGCAAUACGAGAGUAUCCUAGUGGCGAACGGGUGAGUAACGCGUUGGUGACCUACCCCAAAGUGUGGGAUAACAGAUCGAAAGAUCUGCUAAUACCGCAUGUGGUCUUCGGAUUUAGAAACUGAUGACUAAAGGAGCAAUUCGCUUUGGGAGGGACCUGCGUCCCAUCAGCUAGUUGGUGGGGUAACGGCUCACCAAGGCGACGACGGGUAGGGGACCUGAGAGGGUGGCCCCCCACAAUGGAACUGAAACACGGUCCAUACACCUACGGGUGGCGGCAGUAGGGAAUAUUGCUCAAUGGGCGAAAGCCUGAAGCAGCAACGCCGCGUGUGCGAUGAAGGCCUUCGGGUCGUAAAGCACUUUUCUGAGGGAUGAGAAAGGACAGUACCUCAGGAAUAAGUCUCGGCUAACUACGUGCCAGCCGCCGCAGUAACAC
rnacentral:rRNA from 1 species